UGGUAGUCCACGCCGUAAACGAUGAGCACUAGGUGUCGGGGGUCGCAAGAUUUCGGUGCCGUAGUUAACGCAUUAAGUGCUCCGCCUGGGGAGUACGUUCGCAAGAAUGAAACUCAAAGGAAUUGACGGGGACCCGCACAAGCAGCGGAGCAUGUGGUUUAAUUCGAAGCAACGCGAAGAACCUUACCAGGACUUGACAUCCUUCUGACAGGACCUUAACCGGUCCCUCCUUCGGGCAGAAGAGACAGGUGGUGCAUGGUUGUCGUCAGCUCGUGUCGUGAGAUGUUGGGUUAAGUCCCGCAACGAGCGCAACCCUUGUCAUUAGUUGCCAUCAUUUAGUUGGGCACUCUAAUGAGACUGCCGGGGAUAACUCGGAGGAAGGUGGGGAUGACGUCAAAUCAUCAUGCCCCUUAUGUCCUGGGCUACACACGUGCUACAAUGGCUGGUACAAAGAGACGCAAGACCGCGAGGUGGAGCAAAUCUUCAAAACCAGUCCCAGUUCGGAUUGUAGGCUGAAACUCGCCUGCAUGAAGUCGGAGUUGCUAGUAAUCGUGAAUCAGAAUGUCACGGUGAAUGCGUUCCCGGGUCUUGUACACACCGCCCGUCACACCAUGGAAGCUGGGGGCGCCCAAAGUUGGUCGAGAAAUAGAUUACCUAAGGCGAAAUCAGUGACUAGGGUGAAGUCGUAAUCAAGGUAACCGUA
rnacentral:rRNA from 1 species